rnacentral:rRNA from 1 species
UCCGGUUGAUCCUGCCGGACCCGACCGCUAUCGGGGUAGGGCUAAGCCAUGCGAGUCGCGCGCCCGGGGGCGCCCGGGAGCGGCGCACGGCUCAGUAACACGUGCCCAACCUACCCUCGGGAGGGGGACACCCCCGGGAAACUGGGGCCAAUCCCCCAUAGGGGAGGGGCGCUGGAAGGCCCCCUCCCCCAAAGGGAUGGCGGCCGAUCCGCCGCCAUCCGCCCGAGGAUGGGGGCACGGCCCAUCAGGUAGUUGGCGGGUUAAAGGCCCGCCAAGCCGAAGACGGGUAGGGGCGGUGAGAGCCGCGAGCCCCGAGAUCGGCACUGAGACAAGGGCCGAGGCCCUACGGGGUGCAGCAGGCGCGAAUACUCCGCAAUGCGGGCAACCGCGACGGGGCUACCCCGAGUGCCGGGCGAAGAGCCCGGCUUUUGCCCGGUCUAAAAAGCCGGGAGAAUAAGCGGGGGGCAAGUCUGGUGUCAGCCGCCGCGGUAAUACCAGCUCCGCGAGUGGUCGGGGUGUUUACUGGGCUUAAAGCGCCCGUAGCCGGCCCGGCAAGUCGCUCCUGAAAUCCCCGGGCUCAACCCGGGGGCGGGGGGCGAUACUGCCGGGCUAGGGGGCGGGAGAGGCCGCCGGUACUCCGGGGGUAGGGGCGAAAUCCGUUAAUCCCCGGAGGACCACCAGUGGCGAAAGCGGGCGGCCAGAACGCGCCCGACGGUGAGGGGCGAAAGCCGGGGGA